GGCAUGUUUAUCAGGGGGUUGUAAGGGAGGUUUAUAGAUUUUAGGUGGGUUAAAUUUAAAUCAAAAGAAAAGGAAAUUAAGAAGAGACUCUCUUAUAUUACAACCCCAAAUCGUUCAUAAGAGACUGCAACAUGUCCAAUUUUCGUUGGUCAACUGAAAAAUAGAAAAGGGAAAAAAAAAAUUGUUUCUCUCUUUCUCUCUUUUUCUCCCGAUCAACUUCUCUCUUUCUCUCCCGUUCAAAGUUUCGAUCCGAGAAAGGAAGAUCUGCAGAUCAAAGUCUCUCUUUCUCCUGAUCAAAGUCUCGAUUUGAAUCGGUAGACAUCUUCUCGGAGGCGAGUGUAGCGGUGGCGAUUUGAAUCGUCGUGGAGAUUGUAGCGGUGGCGAUUUGAAAGAGUAGGCGAUUCCAUCGAAAGAGAAUGGAUGAAUUCGAUUGAGAGGGUUAAAUGGUGCUAGCAUGAUAUUGAUGGAUUGAUGAGAGUAGAAUGGUUGGAGCAGAUUUGGUUGAUCUUGUAUUCACUUUUGUAUUGAGGUUAAAUGGUGCUAGCAUGAUAUUGAUGGAUUAAUGGUGCUAGUUGGUUGUGAAGAUGUUUAAUGUGUGGUUGGAGCAGAUUUCAUUGAUCUUGUAUUCACUUUUCUAGCCUUACCACUUGGAUCUGUCUGGGACAUCUGUGGAGACAAUAAUAUCACUCUUGGUUGUAUUGGGAACGUGUUUAGAAGCUUCAAGGGUUUGAAUGAAGAAAAUGAUGAUUCCUCGUUGUCUGCCAAGUGUCUGCUUCCUUCGUAUUAUAGUUGCCCAAAAACAGUUGCUUGAUGUUGUCACUUUGCAAAGAGAAAUCUAUUAUUGUUACAGGUUCUGUCCCAGCCCGGGUGAACCCUUUGGCAGCAGUAGGUUAAGUUUCACUAGAGAGAUGCCUGCUUGUCUUACUCUUCAAACCCAAAACAUCCAAGGUUUUUAAUAUAAGAAGUUUUGGGUUUGUGAGGGGAUACGCAAGGUAUUUGGUAACUGAUGAUUUGGUCAUUAAACUGAAGGACUCGGUUUCGAACAUUAGUUUGCUGAAGUUGACCAUGCAUUUGGCGGAGGA